UUAAUUAAAUCAGGGCUACAUCCCACAACCACCAUAAACCCUUAUCAGUCACCUAGCGUCGACCACAUCUCUAUGAGAAGAAUCAAUUCUCUUAUUCUCCACAGCCACCAUUGCAACCGUAAUCCGACCGCCAUCAUUCUCUGUUAUCUUUUGAUUUCAAAUUUCAGCAGAUUCGUUUAUGAUAACCUCAGUUGUAGCUCUGUCUUCAUCUCGAUUUCUUGCGUGUAUAUAUAUAUAUAUAUAUAUAUAUAUAUAUAUAUAUAUAUAUAUAUAUAUAUAUAUAUAUAUAUAUAUAUAUAUAUAUAUAUAUAUAUAUAUCGGAAACCAACUGCACAACUCCAUCGUCAAACAUCACCGAGUAACCACCAACCUUUCCUCAUUGGUAUUCUGAGAUUGAACAAAGAAAAAGGAUGCUGGAAAGUUUUAGGUAUCACUACUGCAUGUCACAAAAGCUCACAAAUCAGACAAUAUUUAUUGUUUUAAAGAGGUGAUGACCAAUUACAAAUUAUUUGUAGUUUGCGAUUUGAUUCAAAGGGAAGAAUGGGAUUGCGAUCGAUUCAAGAGAAGACUGACAUAGGGAUGAAUUUUGCAACUUUUUUUUUUUUUUUGUUUCAGAAGCGGUUUAAUCCUUAUUUGUUAUGAUCAUGUAUAAAUAUAUGAACUUAGUCUUGGAACAUUUAUUUAUGAAUAUUUAGUUGUAUAAAUGUAUGAACUUGAUGGAAGUGAUUUAAAUCAUAUAUGAUUAAGAAUGUAUAGCAUUUUCUA